rnacentral:lncRNA from 1 species
CUGAAGGUCAAGGUGGAAAGAAAACCCUAACACCUCUUCGUAUUUAGAAAACAACUAUGUUUUUUAGGCAUAAAACAAAUGCAAUUUCUGAAUUAUUUUGGAGUUAACUGGGUAUGAUCAUGAAGAAUAAUUUACAAAUUUUAUUUCAGUGGCAGUGAAAGAUCUUUCCGUCUGAGCUAAAAUAUCUUGCCUUUUUUAGAGGUUUAUCUUACUUUGAAUCAGAACCUACUCUUCCAGUCACUAAGAAAAGAGAACUGUGAGAAUCUCCUAAGUGUACUUACAUCCUGUGAUCACCUGUGCUGACCACCCCUUCUGUUGAUUAUCCAUCAUGUGGCCUAGGCCCUGAAGUCUCUUCUUUUCUCUUACAAGAAUGCAGACUCUGGAUCCCAAAGGCCCUGUCUGAAUUCUUGCUGUGACAUUUAUUAGCUCCGUCACCUCGAGCUAAGAACAGUUCAAAGAAAGAAAAAUUAAGCCAAAAUCACACACACACACACACACACACACGCAUGCAUGCUCAUACACAUACACGCAUGCUCACACACAUACACACACACCCUUAGGCUGCUCUAAAGCAUAAGGAGACAGGAAAAUAAUAAGGAACCCAAACCUGUGCCAGUUUCUAACAGCUACUUAUUGGGAAACUGUUUCUAUCACACUUCUAACCAGUGGUGCUAAUAUUUAAAUGCCCAUAAAGGAUCAAUAAAGCCCUGCCUGGGUUAAAAUGAGAUACGAUGGUGCACAACAUUCUGUGUACAGGAAACUGUAUACAAGAACGUGAGGGUAAACAAGGACAGACUUGUGCCUAGGGUGUGUGAAAGGCAUCAUGGGAGGGCCUGAGAAAGGUGGGAAGAAGCAUGAAGCAUGUCUUGACCUGCUGUCGUUGCCAGAGCCACUGUGAGGCUUCCAUACUUAGCAUAAGUCUACAUGAAUGCCAACAUGUCUUAAAUCUAACUUUCAACCAGCGAGAUGAUAGGUGAUAGAUGUCCACCAUAGGAUGAUUUGGAGAGAAGGGGGUGUUCCCUAAACUGCUCCUACUCUGGUGCAGUAAUACCCACAGGGAAGCUUUGCCCCAGAUGUUUUUGAUGGUUUAUUCCCAAGAAUUACUAGUGUUUUUCCCUCAUUGAUGAAUGAGUAACAAAACACUCUCAAAUGCAGUAAGAGGAAAGAAAAUCUUUGCUAUCCCUUGUGGAAAGGCAGCAGCAGUCCAGGAGUUCUCAAUACAAAAGAAAAAGAUGGGGUUUAGUGCAGAGGAUUAAAUGACCCCAUCCAUCAAGAACAAAAAGUGAGCAUCAUAAAUCCCUGAACAAUCCCAGAAGGCAUCUGAUGGACCCCCGCCAUCCAUCUUGGCAUGUCGGCGAGGAGCAGGUGGGAUUCUCUCACUGUGUCCUCUCCCGGGUGGUGCAGAGUCCAACAACGGCCCAGCAUGCAAACAGGCGGAACAUCGCCCCUUAAGAGGCCAACAGACAGAACACUCAACACACCAGAUCCUGAGAAGGCCUGGAGAGCACAAUGAUUGAUUUGGCUAUUUCGUUUAGAGAAACAAAGCCAUUCUAAGCUGUUGUGUAGCAUUCAUUAGGGCAGAAACCAAAUCUAGGAGUCCAUAGAGUGAACCUGCCCUCAGAUGUGCUUUGUUUGACUAUUACCUGCUUAAAAAAGAACAAAAAACAAACAAACAAACAAACAAAAUUCAUAUGACCUGAAGACAUUUUAAAAUUAGAAAAUUUCAUGUGAAAAUUGAUCUCUGGGCCAGGCGCUGUGGCUUGCACCUGUAAUCCCAGCAUUUUGGGAGGCCAAGGCAGGCGGAUCACUUGAGGUCAGGAGUUCAAGACCAGCCUGGACAAUAUGGCGAAACCCCAUCUCUACUAAAAAUGCAAAAAUUAGCCAGGUGUGGUGGCACCCGCCUGUAAUCCCAGCUACUGGAGAGGCUGAGGCAUGAGAAUUGCUUAAACCUGGGAGGCAGAUGUUGCAGUGAACUGAGAUCGUGCCACUGCACUCCAGCCUGGGUGACAAGAGUAAGACCCCAUCUCAAAACAAACAAACAAACAACAAAAAAAAAACACCAUAGAUUUCUGGCUUCUUUAAAAAAAAAACAAAACAAACAAUCCUGUACAAGGGUCCACAUUUGUCAGUAAACACUAACAAGCUACUAUCUUCAGAGAAGGCAUGUAGCAUUCCAUUUGACACAGUCCCCAGGAGCCUACUGCACUAAUUUAUAUAUUUGCCUGCCCCUUUAAUCGGCUUUGACUUUUCAAUCCAUGAAUCACACAUCACACAAGGAAAUAUAAUAACUAAAUAUUUCACUUUCUCCAGCUUGUAGGAAGGAUUUACAGACAUUUUCUUUCUUCCCUUUCUUUGAACUUUACUGCCAAAAAUAAUCAACCAAUAAAAUUUUAAUCUUUUAAAAGAAACAAAAAUCAUAUUUAGUUAGACACACUUGGCAUACAAUUUCACCUUUGUUGUGUUGUUGUACUAAUGAGGCCAUCUGAGUUCUCUUUGGAAUGAAUACAAUAAUUCAUCUGGGGGUAGGGGGAGAGAAUGAAAGGUAGGAGGUUUGUCUUGUUCUCUAGAAAGUAUUCACCUGAAUCCUGAAUCUCCCUAAAGACAAGCAGAAUUAGGGAGAAGAAGCAUAUCUAUGGAAAUGCAAAAUUUCCCUGUCAUAAAAAUAAAUUCUAAAAGAUAAAUUUUCAGCUUCAACAUAUAAUGAAGUUAUAGCUCUUUGACAAAUGAUGUUCUGCGUUGUCAUGGCAACUGGGCCUGUUAGAGGUGUGCACAAAGAGGCCUGCCCAUAAAUCAGUAUGUUUUAGGAAGGGGUUAAAACAAACAUCUCUAGACUUUUCCCCAGAUGUAAUGCCAAAAAUGUAAUUAUAGACAUUUGUAUCAGUCUGCCAUAAAGAAUGACAGCUCCGAUUCUGCAAAAUGUUAAUUAAAAAGUCUAUUAAAUCCAUGUCCCUCUGAGAGAAAUUAAUAUCACACCUAAGGUUGGGAGUCAAUGCAACUCAAUGGGUAUGAAAAUUGGAAGGGCAAGUUUCAAAAGAAAGGCUUAAAAGCAGCUCUAAUCUAUAAGCUGUUUAGUUAAGGGUUUGGACUAGAUUCCAAUUCUCAAGAGAAGAAAUGUUGAGGGAAAAAUGGGCAAUGCUCAGAGCCUUUCUGGAAGCUUGAGAGAACACGAAACUGUAAUCAAAGAUAUGGGGCUUAGGUUUGCAAGGGAGAAACUGAUAGACUGAGGUUAGCUCAGCUGAAAACGCAGAGGUGAAGCACCUAGGAAUCGUUAAAUCCAGGAGGACAUAGACAACAAGCAGUAAGCAUUGGCAGCUUGCAAUGAAGUCAGGAAAAAUGAGAAUUAGCGUAAAAUCAGACAUUUGAAAAAUGUUUCUUAAGGCAAAAGUCAUGAGAUUCCACCCCAAGGGUUACAGAUUGGCAGCCUACAGGCCAGGCCCAAUUGAGUCAAAAGACAAGUUUUGUCUGGCCUGCACAGUGUUCUUUAAAAAUGUACAUUGUUUGCCAACAUUUAAAAAUCAGGAGAUUUCACAUAACCUCUGGCUUCUUCUCUUUAAAAAGCAGAUGAUUUGGCAGCAAAAAGCCCUAGAUUCCCACGUGGCACCCAGAGCUGGAGUUGCGCUCAGAGAACAUAAGCUCCCUGAAGACAGUACUUUGCUUUUCUCACCCUGUGGCCCCAGCACUUGGCACAGUCCAAGGCAAGGAGAAGGGUUAAAUGCAUGGUUGAAUGAACGAGUGAGUAUCAGCUGCCCUGUUUAAAUAAGACACACACUCUCCAAGGGGCUGCCCCUCUCUCCUCCCUUUAACUGUUACUUGCCUGGCCCCACCUUGCUCUGUGCUGUAAGUUUUUUUCUUUAGUUAAGACACCUCACAUUGCCUCUUGAUAUUAGUUCCCCAUAGAAUUCACUCUGAUGACCACCUAUGUGGACCAUUGAAGUGAAUGAUAAUGUAAUGAUAUUCUUUAAGGAUUAUAAACACUAGUCUAAAAUAGGAGCUUCCUUUAAAGUCUGGCAUCACCAUCAUCAUCAUUCACCCUGCAGGCAGCACAGUGCAUAAGAGGACCUGCCAAACCCCCUUCUUUCGCUUGGAACAAAGCAAAUACUUCUGAUAGGCUUCAGAUCUGAACACCUGUUUAUUCAUUCAACAAACACAAAACUCCUUCAAAGUGUUUUUAUGACUAAAAGCCAUAUGAUAUGUCUCUUUCACCUUGAUGUCCAGAGAUUUAAAUUUUUAUUAAAUGAAUGAAUGAGUGGUGGUAAUAGCUAUAGACAAUAACUAUAUUGUGAAUCUACUAAGUACUAGAUACAUGCAUUGUUAACUUAUUCUCACAAUCUACGUGGUGGAAAUGAGUAUCCCCCUUUUACAGAAAAGGAAAAACUGAGAUUUAGUGAGGUUAGGGGAUACGUCCACAUCAUGGGCCAAACAGGGAUUGGAACUCAGAUCUUCUUGGCAUCUACAUCCUGUACCUUCCAUUGUGCUAUCAACCUCUCAGUUCAACUCUGUUCUCCAGGUAGUGGGUUACAUGGUGGCCUGUAAAAAAAGAUAUGUCCAAUCCUGAGCCCUGAAACCUGUGACAGUGAUCUUACUUGGAAAUAAGGGCCUUUGCAAAUGUUAUUAAAAAUUACUAAGAUGAGAUUAUCGUGGAUUUAGGGUAGGCUUUAAAUCUAAUGAGAAUUUCUAUAAGAGGAAGAGAGGACACAGAGACUCAGGGAGAAGGCGAGCUGAAGGCAGCUGCAGUGACUGGAGUGAUACAGCUACAAGCCAAAGGAUGCCGAUAAUUGCCCCUGGAAACUAAGAGAGACCCUCAGGUCCUCCAAAAGGAACCAACCCUGUCAACACCUCACUUUCAAACUUCCAGACUCCACAAUGAUGAGAAUAAAUUUCUGUUGUUGUAAACCAUCACGUUUGUGGUAACUUGUUAUGGCAGCCCCUGGUUCACAUCCUGAAGAAGUUCCCCAGAGAUCUUUGCUUCUGCUGUCCAUGGCGGGUGGGGGGUGGAAUUUAGUUUCAUUCAGAAUCCUAAAGCUUUACUGAUCUUCCGUGCCUCAGAAGCUCCCUAUUUCUGAUUCAGCCUUUCAGCUAUGAGGUCCCACAUAGCUUUACUCAGAAACAUUCACACAUCUCAACAAAAGUGAACUCAACUGAGAAUCACAUCUUUUUCAUCUGUUUCUUUGAAAGCCCAGUAGCACCUUUGACAGGAGUGGCAUGUGGUCUAAUGCUUUGGAGCAAUCCAGUUUAAUGCAGCAACAGCAGACCCAAGCUCCUCUCACCAGAUGAACACUAUGGCACAAUUAUUAAUAUGGGGGUAUAGGAAAGAAGGUGCCACUCUGUGUGCAGAAUUCUGUGCCAGCUUCUAGGAGGGUGGGAAGAUAGG